rnacentral:rRNA from 1 species
GAUGAACGCUAGCGGCAGGCUUAAUACAUGCAAGUCGAGGGGUAGCAAGAUUGUAGCAAUACAAUUGUUGACGACCGGCAAACGGGUGCGGAACACGUACACAAUCUUCCUACAAGUGGGGAAUAGCCCAGAGAAAUUUGGAUUAAUACCCCGUAACAUAGCGAUGUGGCAUCACAUUGCUAUUAUAGCUUCGGCGCUUGUUGAUGGGUGUGCGGCUGAUUAGAUAGUUGGCGGGGUAACGGCCCACCAAGUCUACGAUCAGUAGCUGAUGUGAGAGCAUGAUCAGCCACACGGGCACUAGGACACGGGCCCGACUCCUACGGGAGGCAGCAGUAAGGAAUAUUGGACAAUGGACGCAAGUCUGAUCCAGCCAUGCCGCGUGAAGGAUUAAGGUCCUCUGGAUUGUAAACUUCUUUUAUAAGGGACGAAAAAAGGUCUUUCUAGAUCGUCUGACGGUACCUUAUGAAUAAGCACCGGCUAACUCCGUGCCAGCAGCCGCAGUAAAAC